rnacentral:tRNA from 1 species
GGGCCCAUAGCUCAGUUGGUUAGAGCAGAGAACUCAUAAUUCUUUGGUCGUAGGUUCAAGUCCUACUGGGCCCACCA